UCGCAUAUAAAAGUAUUGAAUGGUGGAGGGAGAGCGUAUUCACUGUCAUGGGUAGAUGGAAUAUUUUACAGUUGAAAAUGGAAGACUUCUGGUCUGGCAACAGGACUUCACUUAGGUGUAUGCGCUCAGUGCUGCCUGCAAGUGAAGAAUCUCAAUUUUGCACAGAACUAACAGGCAGUCUGGAAUAGACUUACAGUCUGCCUGUCACUUGUGCUAGGGAUGCAACUAGUCCCUGGCACAGAAGUGAAGAUAUCUUGGUUUCAAGCUGAAAUGCAGAGCAUAGUUUGCUUGCUCUAUGACCACUCCUAACAGCAGAAGAGGUACUGGAGGCUAGAGAAACCCAUGAACCCCUAAAGUACUUUAGUAAGCUGAAGUGAUAUAGGGGAGUGGAGAGUCCCUUUAUAUAAAACACAUCUGCAGCUAAGAUAGUGUCUGUAUAAAGACAUACCUAUUCACUAAAGUGAGAAUCAUCAUGAAUUUUAAAUUUAGCGCCAAAAAAGAACCAAACAGGAAAAAUUCUCAAACAGCCAUGUUUCCAGUUAAGCUUUUUUGACCAGUUAAUUUGGAAUUCACUUUGACGACUCAUGUUGAGAGAUUUAUUUUGCUGCAAUAGAAUGAUUUUGGAAGCCAAUUAGAAAUGUAUUUGUUCUGAUGUAUGUAAACACACACACACUAUACUUACUAGUUACUGUGUGUAACUAGGUGAUAAUGCAUGAACAGGUCCUGUAUACACUGAGCAUCAGUCACAAACUUUUCAUAUGGUAGAAUAGGUACUUUAAAAUCAGGGCUUGACAUUUGCUUUGAAUCUAGGAGGCAGCUAAAAAAAAUAAAGGGACACUAGCCACCACAACUUCAUAUAGUUCUGCUGUCCAACUGUCACUGAAGACUUUACAAUGUAAACACUGCUUUUUCAGAGAAAAAACAGUGUUUACAUUGCCAUUAG